rnacentral:rRNA from 1 species
UAUACGACUCUCGGCAACGGAUAUCUCGGCUCUCGCAUCGAUGAAGAACGUAGCGAAAUGCGAUACUUGGUGUGAAUUGCAGAAUCCCGUGAACCAUCGAGUCUUUGAACGCAAGUUGCGCCCGAGGCCUUUCGGUUGAGGGCACGCCUGCUUGGGCGUCACGCC